rnacentral:lncRNA from 1 species
CGCGAACCAGGGAGCGGAGGCGCGGCGCGCGAACCAGCGGAGAAGGCGGCACACCUCGUCCUCAACCUGCCGUCGACAUCCGACUGCAGCUCUUGCUGCAAGGUACGAGUCUAGUUCUUCCCCUGCUUCUUCUUGUGGUCAUGGCCAGAUUUAUUUUGCUCAGUAAACUAGGCUAGGGUUCCAAGAACAGGUCCGUUCCAAGAAGAUUGAUUCCCCUGUGUGUGAUUUUGGUUCAAUCUAUUUGAGUCAGGCAACCAUGCUUGUGGAAAUCCUGAAAUCCCCAUUUUUUUUCUUCUUAGCCCUGAUAGAAACAUGUCAGAUCAGCCUUGAUACUCUGCUCUUUGCAAUUGUGAAGAGAAAAUUAUGCUGAUUAGCUAGGUGCAGAUGCAGGUGGCUAGGUGCAGAUGCUGAUUUGCUAGCCCUGAGAGAAACAUGUCAAAUCCUGAAAUCCCCAUCUUUGUUUUUAUUUGCUAAUGGCUAGGUGCAGAUGCUGAAUUCUUUUGCUAGAUGUACUAGUAGUUGGUAUAUUAUUAGACUAGCAUAAUCACAGGAAGGCAAACUUGUUGAUAUUGUUUGGAUAUCAAGAUUGCUGAUUUUUGUCUGGAAAUCAAGUUUUCUGAUAACUUUCAAUGUGUAUGCUUGUUGAUACCGUUGAUUUAAAUGGUUGCUGAUAAUGUUUAAAUGUAGUGGAGAUACAUGUGUUGAAAAGUAGGUGACAGAGAAAAAGUAAGAUGAUGACAUCACACAGAGUAGCUUCCAUUGGAUGAUUGUGGCACACACCAACAGCUUCAUUCAAAAUUAUCUAUGUGGAUGGCUGGGUGCUGCCUCCAUUCUACAUGCCCUCAUUACCACCAAUAAUUCGGGUGGCAUUGCUUCAGUUCUUCAGACGCCGCGUGGCUUCUUAUCAUAUCAGCAGGCAAAGGAUAAGUUAUCGGGAUGAAUGAAGUCAAUGAGGCGUGAAAAGUGACGUCUUUGGUACUCCCAACAAAGCAUCGAUCUAGCCAAUGUAUGUUGCCGCCCAAGGCCCCAACAAGGAUAGAGAAAAGAAAGGGUGAGGCAGGCUCGGAUUAGGACAUCUGUAAUAGUGCCACGAUAAUCCUAAUGUUGUGUUUGGAUGUCUGUAUUGGAGGCCGCCGUAUUGAGUUGGUUUCAAUUCCUAAUCAGUAAGGAAACUGUAAUGAGCAUGAAUACCAAUUCACUUGUUUGGGAUGCUCGUUGAAUUGGCUUAUGGAAUCUCAGUGAGGUUUUAAUACCAAAUCACGUUUCGAUGGCAAACUAUGGAAUUGCAUAGUACUUUGUUCUAUAUAUGCAUCAAAUCACAG